UAGAAAGUAGUAUGUAGGGAGUACGGAGGGUUUUGGUCUCUCAGGUGCAGGUUCGAUUCCUGUUUUUCUAA
rnacentral:tRNA from 1 species